rnacentral:lncRNA from 1 species
CCUGCCUCCACCGGUGCCUUGGUCCCCGCUGAAAUCACCGAGAUGCUGCCCUAGACUCCGCCCACCAGCGCCCAAACGCCGCCACGCUGUCGACGGGGAAGAGGGAUAGGGGACCCGCCGCACCGUCCUCCACCCCUCGCCGUCGGCCCCUCGCUCCGUGCUCACUGCCCUCCGCCACGCCCGCAGCGACCUCGCCUCCCUCCCUCAAUUCAGUUGACGCCGGGAAGAUGGGGAAAGUGAAGUGGUCAACGUAUAUGGAUAGGGUCG